GAAAAAAAAGUGACAGCCAUGAACUCCAUUUUCGGAUCCCAAAAACAGACAUAAAUGGCAGAAAAAGAGGGCAUAAAAAGUUAACCUCUAGAGCUAAAGAGGGGUCAGUAUACUGUCUGCAUACACUGGAUAUACCGUAGAUAUAUAUGGGGUAUACACGAUAUACAUUCGGCAUACAAAAGAUAUACAGUAGCGAAAAGGAGAAACCAAAAAAACGACCUCCAGCAACAAACCAGUGACGACGACAAACCAUCCAUACACCUUCUGUUUGUUGCCAAAUUUCUAGCGAGAUAGAUAUCCGUUGAGUUCCGUCGAGGGUGCCGGUUCGAGUUCCAUCAAGGUGGUCGCUGACCAUUUUUCUAGAGAUCCGUUGAGUUCCGUUGAGGGUGCCGGUUCGAGUUCCGUCGAGGUGGUCAAUGUCCAUUUUUCCGGCGAGUUCGAGCUUUGGAAACUCAACGUCACUGUAAAUGUUUGCUUGAAGUUGUAUUGAUGUACGGUUGUAAUCGCUGGUUCAUUUUAUCGGUAUAAACUACAGGUUCAAUAAAGUAUAUGAGAACUUUAAGCUAAACAAGUCUCUUGGUAUCUUGAGUUAGAAGGCAUCUAUUGUCAACUGGAUCUUUUUGUUCUAGAUGAAAUAACAAUUCCUAAAAUAUGAAUUCUUCUGAAAAUAAACAUACUUGUUAUGAAAUAAUGUAAAAGACAAGAACAAUAACUCAAGAACAAGAGCAAAGAGAGAGAAGAGUAGAGAGAGUUCUU
rnacentral:lncRNA from 1 species